GGAUCCCAUCAGAACUCCGCAGUUAAGCGUACUUGGGCGAGAGUAGUACUAGGAUAGGUGACCUCCUGGGAAGUCCUCGUGUUGCACCU
rnacentral:rRNA from 1 species